rnacentral:lncRNA from 1 species
GCGGCUUCCAGGAUACGUUUCUUUUACAAAACCCUAGCAUCGGCAAUUAUUUAUCUCCUUCUUCAUAUGGUUGUAAAUGGGUUUACAAUUCAACCGUUCACACCAUCUACAAAUCCUUUCGGUACACUCUCAUCACAUCUGUUUCCAAUUUGGGGUUUCAACUUUCAAGCAAUCGGAACUUCUGUUUAGUUACGGUUUUGGUACUUAAUUGGAUUAAGUAGUUUUGGAAUUGAAGAUGAACUGUGCAUAUGGUUGAUUGGUUUUGAAGAUGCUUAAAGUGUUUUAAGAUAAGGGAUUCAGUGUGAUGCUGUGAUCGUUUCAUGAUAUUGGUGAUGUUGAGUUUCAGGAUAACUAGGGACGGGUUUGGGUAGACAAUGGUACUUCUGAUUGCUUUGCUCUUGAUGUGCUGCUUAAUCGCCUCACUGUACUAAGUUCCGAGUAUUUGGGUAUACAACAGGUGGUCUUUGGAGGUCGGUCAAUCUGCGAUUGGGAAGAGGGAAUGAAAAACCCUGAAGAUGGAUACAAGUACUUUAAGAUUGUUGCGCUCACAACGUUCGUUUAUGGAAAAUUGGAGAGCGAGUCAGAAGUAAGAUCUGAUCAAGGGAAGAUAGUGGACUUGUGAAUCCCACAAAGGAGAUCUCUAAAGCAACGGUGUGGUAACUCAAGUGGCGGCGGUGGUGGUGCUGCAAUCAUUUCGAUUCAACAAACCAUCUGGUCGUGGAAGGAGUGAUGGAUUGUAAGGAUAUGUACCUUCUGGAUCAUGUUGUGGCCGAUUCCAUGAGAGCUUUUUAAGGUAAAUUCAGGACGUAGCUUAUUUGGGAUUGUUAACGGACGGUGUGUUGAGGACCCGAAAUCAAUGGCGUCUGACUUAACCUGCAAUUCACUUCCGGGUCUUGACAUUGCUACAAACCGGGACAUAAUAGGGAUAUAUCUUGCUAAUUUGAUUCGGCUUCAUUGGAAACGCACAUCAAGAAUUAACCAUGGAUUGAUGUUGACUUCUCCUCUCAGACGAGUGCAUGAUGAUAACGGGAAAUGGAGUAUUGGAGCUCAAUGAUGGCAAUAGAGAGACAAAUGCUUCUAACUUGCUUUACACGGAGUAUUAAUCCUUUAAGCCUAACACGUCCAACUGAAACAAAAGCCUUCCUCAAUACACAUUAUCUUCUCUAUUCAUAACAAAACAUUAGUGAGGGGUUGGGAGGGAAAGUGGGGAAUGUGACGUGGAGGAGAAGGGUGAGAAUAAGAAGGUUGAAGAGAUCGGUCAAGAAGAGGCGUGGUUUAAGCGGAGUGAAAAGGGCAAGGUCGAGGAAUAAUGAUAGUUGCACCUGCUCGAUGUGCCGCCAUGUUGGAUGUAUAUCUCCCUUUGCCUAGAUGCUCAGGUUUCGUUUGUCAAGUGUUUUGCAAUGACCAUAGUGUGCUUAUUUUCGUACUACGUAUAUCUUGCUGGGGGCUUGGUCGACGGUUGAAGGAGCAUACAGGAUGAUUUCUGAGUUCUAAGGUUUGGUCAACAGUUUCAAGACGAAGCUUCUGGGCCAGAUGCUCUAUUAUAUUUCAGGGGCAUGACAACACACAUUGGGAGAAGAAUAUUGUUAUAUCACAAGUGUCAAGAAUUUAUAUUCUAUUUUGUAGAUACUCAUAAAUUAUUUAAUAUCACACCUUUUCAUUUGUCAAUCGAAACUGAAAUUUUGAGUU